rnacentral:rRNA from 1 species
AGAACGAACGCUGGCGGCAUGCCUAACACAUGCAAGUCGAACGAGACCUUCGGGUCUAGUGGCGCACGGGUGCGUAACGCGUGGGAAUCUGCCCUUAGGUACGGAAUAACUCAGGGAAACUUGUGCUAAUACCGUAUGAUGUCGAGAGACCAAAGAUUUAUCGCCUAGGGAUGAGCCCGCGUAGGAUUAGCUAGUUGGUGGGGUAAAGGCCUACCAAGGCUACGAUCCUUAGCUGGUCUGAGAGGAUGAUCAGCCACACUGGGACUGAGACACGGCCCAGACUCCUACGGGAGGCAGCAGUGGGGAAUAUUGGACAAUGGGCGAAAGCCUGAUCCAGCAAUGCCGCGUGAGUGAAGAAGGCCUUCGGGUUGUAAAGCUCUUUACCCGGGAAGAUAAUGACUGUACCGGAGAAUAAGCUCCGGCUAACUCCGUGCCAGCAGCCGC